ACAAGGGGAAGCAUAAGCUUACAAACACUCAGCUUCCCAGACACUUUUACCUUCUUUCUUGGUUGUGUGUGCGUGUGUGUGUGUGCGCUCACAUGAGUGCAAGAAUUAAACAAGAGUUCCAGAAUGUAGGCAGAGGAAAAAGUCAGUCCAGUCUCCUAACUCUAUGCAUGAGAAAACUACUCCAGAGAGGUUAAACAGGGUAUUGUAGGUCACGGAGCUGGGCCAGGACAGAAAAGCGUGAACAACUGGCCCAAUCCCCUAAGUUUGCAUAUGAAGAGACAGGCCCAGCAAAAUGGACAAACUUCUCUUUCUAUGCUUCUGGGGGCUAUAAAGGGUUGUUAUUCUGUCUUCAAAUGUUCUGGGAUGCUGACACCACUUGCCAAAAUGCAUUACCCUUCAAAUGGCAUGGGUCAAGUUCAGAUGACUUAAGGACACUGGCCUCUGCUGCUAGACCUCCGUGACUCUGAGUAGGUACCAGGACCUUUUCAGUCCUUGUGGAAAAAGAAACGGCUUCUUUUCCUUGGCAAGAAUCCAUAGAUGUUAAUUACUGGAGACACCUUGGCCAAUCCAGUUUUGCCACUGUAUAGUGUGGCACCUUAACUCAACAACAGAUCUUGAGGAAGUCCCUUCUUCUCUCAGGGCCUCAGGGACUUGAUUAAGUGAUCAUUAAAGCUCCUUCUUUGAAAUAGCAAUACUUUAUUAUAUUCGGAAAGCAAUGGAUUCACUCUAGUACAAUGUGACAUCUGUACAUCAAUGUCUAACUCAAAUUCUACAGUGAAAUAUGCCUUGCUCUUUUUGACUUUGGUGUAGGUUGAACUGGUCUGUUUUUACCUUUAUUUCAUAAACAUAAAGAUAUGAACUUGGUUGGUCCCGGACAGCCACACAAUCGAAUGAUACUGCCUAAAUGUGCCCAUGUGCAUGUAUCCUUAGCCAGCAACUCAAUCUGUACGUUCCAGAUUCCUGCUACAUCCCUUGUCUACCCAAAAGCACUAUCCUGGGCAUACGUGUCACGGCAAUAACUAGUUUGCAGUUCUGGACCAGUGUACCCGAAACAAACUGGGAGUCACUCCAAGCAAGUAGCUAUCACAGUAUCUACAUCUCAGAAGUGACAGCCGGAGCUCCAAGCAUCUAUCUUGAGCUAAGAUGUGACCUUGUGGACAAAAUCCAUGUGCUGAGGAAGGUGGGGUUGAAAAAGAAGCCUGAACCCCUGAUUCCAGGCCUAUGUCCAAACUCUUUUUAGGUGAGAGAGAAAUAAAUGAUCAUAUGGAA